rfam:Schistosoma haematobium scaffold162_37, whole genome shotgun sequence.
AUCCAGCUGACGAGUUCCAAAGAGGAUGAAACGCACGUCCCAGAU